GGUAGAGAUCUUUCGGGAUCUUGAGAGCGGCGUACGGGUGCGGAACACGUGUGCAACCUGCCUUUAUCUGGGGGAUAGCCUUUCGAAAGGAAGAUUAAUACCCCAUAAUAUACUGAAUGGCAUCAUUCGGUAUUGAAAACUCCGGUGGAUAGAGAUGGGCACGCGCAAGAUUAGAUAGUUGGUGAGGUAACGGCUCACCAAGUCUACGAUCUUUAGGGGGCCUGAGAGGGUGAUCCCCCACACUGGUACUGAGACACGGACCAGACUCCUACGGGAGGCAGCAGUGAGGAAUAUUGGACAAUGGGUGAGAGCCUGAUCCAGCCAUCCCGCGUGAAGGACGACGGCCCUAUGGGUUGUAAACUUCUUUUGUAUAGGGAUAAACCUACCCUCGUGAGGGUAGCUGAAGGUACUAUACGAAUAAGCACCGGCUAACUCCGUGCCAGCAGCCGCGGUAAUACGGAGGGUGCAAGCGUUAUCCGGAUUUAUUGGGUUUAAAGGGUCCGUAGGCGGAUCUGUAAGUCAGUGGUGAAAUCUCACAGCUUAACUGUGAAACUGCCAUUGAUACUGCAGGUCUUGAGUGUUGUUGAAGUAGCUGGAAUAAGUAGUGUAGCGGUGAAAUGCAUAGAUAUUACUUAGAACACCAAUUGCGAAGGCAGGUUACUAAGCAACAACUGACGCUGAUGGACGAAAGCGUGGGGAGCGAACAGGAUUAGAUACCCUGGUAGUCCACGCCGUAAACGAUGCUAACUCGUUUUUGGAAUGUAAGUUUCAGAGACUAAGCGAAAGUGAUAAGUUAGCCACCUGGGGAGUACGAACGCAAGUUUGAAACUCAAAGGAAUUGACGGGGGCCCGCACAAGCGGUGGAUUAUGUGGUUUAAUUCGAUGAUACGCGAGGAACCUUACCAAGGCUUAAAUGGGAAAUGACAGGUUUAGAAAUAGACUUUUCUUCGGACAUUUUUCAAGGUGCUGCAUGGUUGUCGUCAGCUCGUGCCGUGAGGUGUUAGGUUAAGUCCUGCAACGAGCGCAACCCCUGUCACUAGUUGCCAUCAUUAAGUUGGGGACUCUAGUGAGACUGCCUACGCAAGUAGAGAGGAAGGUGGGGAUGACGUCAAAUCAUCACGGCCCUUACGCCUUGGGCCACACACGUAAUACAAUGGCCGGUACAGAGGGCAGCUACACUGCGAAGUGAUGCAAAUCUCGAAAGCCGGUCUCAGUUCGGAUUGGAGUCUGCAACUCGACUCUAUGAAGCUGGAAUCGCUAGUAAUCGCGCAUCAGCCAUGGCGCGGUGAAUACGUUCCCGGGCCUUGUACACACCGCCCGUCAAGCCAUGGAAGUCUGGGGUACCUGAAGUCGGUGACCGUAACAGGAGCUG
rnacentral:rRNA from 1 species